UAGUUAGUAGGCACAAUGGUUUCCAUUUUAUAUCCAAUAAAUUAUAGUAAUCUGGAUUCUGGAAUGUUGCAAAAAAAAUGGAAACCAUUGUGCCUACUAACUAAAGCAAAGCAACAACAUAACCAAACUCAAGUCAGUUUAGAAUAACUAACAAUGUAUUCAAAUAAAAGAGUACUGGUUGGCAUGCACACAAAGAUGAAAGGUACUUCUCGCCUACUGAGAUAUUCAACAGGAUAAUAGGCAGCCACAAUAACAACUUUGCCCUUUUGAAUUUGAACAGCAACCAUCUCAACGACGAGGCAUAUGGGUCUUAUCCCAUGAAGCAGGACCAGGGCCAUACAAAGGACCCUUGUCAGCAGCAACCACAUGAACCCCAUAUCGAUCCCCAUAAGGUGCAGGAAUUCCCCUCUCUGGAUUACCGAACUUCAUCCCAUAUG
rnacentral:misc_RNA from 1 species